GAUGAACGCUAGCUAUAGGCUUAACACAUGCAAGUCGAGGGACCGGGGCACGGGUGAGUAACGCGUAUCAAACCUGCCCAUAACUAAGGGAUAACUCAGCGAAAGUUGGACUAAUACAUUAUGGUUAUGGAUGGGGAUGCGUCUGAUUAGCUUGUUGGAGGGGUCACGGCCAACCAAGGCAACGAUCAGUAGGGGUUCUGAGAGCAAGGCCCCCCACAUUGGAACUGAGACACAGUCCAAACUCCUACGGGAGGCAGCAGUGAGUAAUAGUGGGGAAUGGACGCAAGUCUGAACCAGCCAAGUAGCGUGCAGGAUGACGGGCUAUGGGUGGUAAACUGCUUUUAUAUGGGGUUAGUUACCAUAUGAAUAAGGACCGGCUAAUUCCGUGCCAGCAGCCGCGGUAAUAC
rnacentral:rRNA from 1 species